UUUGGAUGUUUUUCAAAAAAAAUUUUGAUAUGUGACAUACACGUGUCAACACAAAGAAGCUAUAGAAACGUCCAUCAUUGCCGGCGAACACGACGAGGAAUCAAAGCGACACCGUUUUCUUCUCCGGCCAGACAAUUAUUAUACCAUAUGACGACAGCGGUGCCUAGGGUUUCACCAGAAAACACCACGGGUCGCUGUUGUGCCACCGAAAGUUUCUCUAAACCCCAAUUCCAUUCUAUUCACCACCGCUAACCUGAUUUGGUCUUUUUUGUUGUAUAGUUUACCAAUACUCAAAUCGGAAUGCACUUACAGGAGAACAUCGUUACAGAGUAGGCGGCUGAGCCGAAAGUUAGGGUUCCGACGCGGUGGUUCUAGGGCGGCGACAUCGCCGCGGUUGUGAAGAUAACAGGCUACACAACCAUAGCAUUCAAGGGUAGACCAGCUUCACCCGCCUUUCGCAAAUUUUAUUAGCGUACUUUCGAACAUCAGAUGACUAGAAGAAAAGUUGCCCUUAUUCUUGGAGGAAGGUAGUAUGCUACAUAAAUCUUUUUGGCUGCAGCCUACUUUUCGUUCAUAUGAAUCAUGGGUGUUUAGAUCUGUAUACACUUGCAAUUUGUAAUUAAAUAUAUUAUCUAUCCUUCGUUUUGUUACUAAAUCUAAAUGCUAGGUUGCUGAUAAUUUAUUUGUACUUAGAUCUACUCAUAAUCACAAAAAAGCACUAAUUCCAUGACAUACUUUAUGACAUCUUCAUGGUUCAUUAAUAUUAAUUAAUUAAAAACUAAAUAUUAUCUCUAAAUCUUUUAAAUAACAAGUAUGUUAAUGGCAGCGAUGUGAAGAAAAAGGCAUUGCAAGUUGUGAUAUUGUUUUGAUAAAGUAUUUGGAGGGUAAGAAACAAGUUCAUCUUCUCCAACAAGUCGAUAAAAGUGGAGGGCAUUCUGGGCGAUAUCAAGUUAAUGGGUUACUGUCGGGUUAAAAAUAGAAAAAGAAUAUAAACAUUGAUUGGAAAACUUGCAAGAAGUUUGACUUGUAAUAUGUUGUUCUGUUGUUUUGGUUUAUGUUAUGCAGCCUUCUUCUAGCCCUUGCUGGGUGAAGGUGUUUGGUUUUGCACCACCUACUGAAAUUCAACCCCGUCCGUUGGCUGCCAAUGCAUUGGAUUUGAGGGAAUCUAUAACAAUUGGUAAAACCGCUCCGGAUAGUAUUAUAUCUCUUCCGUUUGACAUCUUGCUUUGACUUUGAUCACAAAACAGCUAGAUACUUUUUAUGUUGUAUCUUUUCCAUUGGACAUCUUGCUUUCACUUUGAUCACAAAACAGUCGAUAAUUGAAACAGGCUGAUGCAGACAGUCUCGCAGUGCAGUCGCAGAUAAGGCAUAUACUCUUAUGAGUUGUGACACUGCAAUCCAUUCCUUCGGUAUGGGUGAAUUAAUUAAUUAUUUUGUGACUCAAAUUUAGAUAGUUGACUAAAUUGUAUAUAGAUGUGUACAUUUGUUUGCAAUUUAAUAGAGAAGAAUUAGCAUGAUCUGCUUAAUGAAA